ensembl:lincRNA Gm28981 predicted gene 28981
CUCUGAAGCUUCCAGUCCUUGGUGCUUUAUCUCUCCGUAAUGAAUGCAGGAAAAUAUGAUUAUGAAGAUCUAACUACAUGUCCUAUUGAAGGAAAAUUGUCAUUUCCCCUGGGCAAAGGUGAAGGAUCAAGUUGCACCCGAGUAUCUACUCGCCCCUCUGACUUGGUGAUCAGUGUAUACUGCUCAGGGAUUAGAACGUUACUCACAUCAUGGCUACUUUCCUGUGUUUCUGAACUCAGAGGAAGACACACGCAACGGAGAAGAAGCACAUAUCCACAUUAGAAGAUUAAUAUGUAAAUCUCAAGAGAGAGGAUGAAAGACACGAGAAUGACUUGGUCUGGGGAAGAAAAUUAAAGCCUUGAAGUCUACCAAAGAACCAAACAGGAAAACAGCAAUAGCUAAAAGACAGGGUUUCUUACUAGAAUAUCAGAAGUAAAAAUUUCCUUCCAAAUUAAUUCAGCUGGGUAGAUCAAACACUGUUGUCUUUUGGAGAUAUGGCAAAGGUGAGCAGCAUCUGGGUGGAUAAGAGGUCUUCUCUUGACUAUCCAAACUUACUGUAGGGGAGAUGAAAAUAAAUCCAAUAUUAAGGUUAGUCACAUGAGCUUCUUUUAUAGGCAUACCAUAGGAGAGAGAUUUGUACUGCUGCUCAGCUCCAAGGCUAGUGAAGGGCUUGAAAUUAAUUUCAAGGUAUCUGUUUUGGUGGUAAAGGAAGAUUUUGUUGAGGGCUAAGGACUAGGCCAUAUUCACUGUCACUCCUUUGAAUCAUCGAUCUAUGACGGGUAGGAAAAUCAAGUAACGAGAAACAUCAUGGCAAGACACACCUUAUGUUCUUCACUAUCCACUAAGUGUCACAAAGCUCACCAUUUCCCUCCAGUUCUCCCACUAGGGAUUUAUACAUAUUAAAUGUACAUCUUCUUUGCUUUUCUUUUUAUCGAAAAUAGAUUUUUUUCUCACAUAAUGGAUCCUGAUUAUAGUUCCCGUCCCUCUACUCCCCCCAGUUCUACCUCCCUUGCCCUCCCAUCUGGUUCACCCCCCUUUCUGUCUCUCACUAGAAAACAAACAGAUUUCUAAGGGGGUAAUAACAGAAUAAGAUAUAAUGAGAUAAAAACAAAAACUAACACACUGGAAAAGCACAAAACAAGCAAGCACAAGUAAAAGAGCCCAAGAGAAGGCACAAGAAUCAGAGACCCACUUUUUUCUCCCACUCAAGCAUCACACAAAAGCCCUAAACUGAAAGUUAUAAUAUGUACCCAGAGAACCAAAGAGAAAAAAAUACAAAUAACAUUUU